rnacentral:rRNA from 1 species
CGCAAUGGGCGAAAGCCUGAUGGAGCGACGUCGCGUGGUUGAUGAAGUCUUUCGGGAUGUAAAAACCUUUUAUGAGGGAGAAAUUUUUGAUAGUACCUCAUGAAUAAGGGGUUGCUAAACUCGUGCCAGCAGCAGCGGUAAUACGAGUGCCCCGAGCGUUAUCCGGAAUUAUUGGGUGUAAAGGGUGCGUAGGUGGUCUUAUUAGUCUUGUGUUAAAACCUGGGGCUCAACUCCAGAUCUGCAUGGGAAACGGUAAGACUAGAGGGUGUGAGAGGUCUGUGGAACUCAUGGUGUAGGGGUGAAAUCCGUUGAUAUCAUGGGGAACAACAAAAGCGAAGGCAGCAGACUGGCACAUUUCCUGACUUUUUGCACGAAAGCGUAGGUAG